GCGUAGUUGGUUUAGUGGUAUAAUUCUCGCCUGCCAUCUAAUGACAGACCGCGGGAGACCUGGGUUCGAUUCCCAGACUACGCA